GGGUUAGUAGGUUGGUCAUGCCUCUGGUAUGCACUGGUCUCACUGAUUCCUCCUUCCUGAUGAGCCGUAAUGCCAUUAAUUUGGUGUUGCGGGGAAUUUGGACUGUUACUUUGAAAAAAUUAGAGUGUUUAAAGCAAGUGAAUAACAGCCUGAAUACAUUAGCAUGGAAUAAUAGAAUAGGACGUGCGGUUCUAUUUUGUUGGUUUCCAGAGUCGCCGUA
rnacentral:rRNA from 1 species